rnacentral:rRNA from 1 species
UACGUAGGGUCCGAGCGUUGUCCGGAAUUAUUGGGCGUAAAGGGCUCGUAGGCGGUCUGUUGCGUCGGGAGUGAAAACUUACAGCUUAACUGUGAGCGUGCUUCCGAUACGGGCAGACUUGAGGUAUUCAGGGGAGAACGGAAUUCCUGGUGUAGCGGUGAAAUGCGUAGAUAUCUGGAGGAACACCGGUGGCGAAGGCGGCAUCCUGGACCGGCAUUGACGCUGAGGCGCGAAAGCCAGGGGAGCAAACGGG